AGAGGACCUAUGGCCAGGUCGAUCCAACAGAGGAGAGGGGAGUUGAAAAGCAGUCAGUGAUUUGAGGCUAUUUUUAUAGCUCAGCUAGGCCUGGAAAGCCCAUCAUACUUCAAGGGGAUAUUGAGGUUUGAGGAGUUCAGACCUAGGUUAGCCACUGCUUCAGUCUAUGAGAGGAGGUGUGAGGAUGGGAGCAGAAAACUGAGCCAUGAUACUGUCUGAACAAACAUUAACGGAGAGCUGGGAGUGUGCUAGGCAAUACAAUGGGGAGAAGAAACAAAGAUGAAAUGAACACAUUUCUCCAGGAUCCCAUGGAGUUGUUGUUUGCAUUUAAAGAGAUCUGAGACGCUGGCUUCUUAAUGCCUGUCCAAACUUUUCCGGUUGGAAUACUGAGGAAGGGCUGCUGGAGCCAUGAGACAUCUUGAAUUAUCCUCGCUUAAUUAUUAAUCAUUGAACUUGAAAGACAAGGAAAUCUUGCAUGUAAAUAUCAACUCUCAAUAACCUAUAAAUAAUUUCUUUACUUC
rnacentral:lncRNA from 1 species